rnacentral:rRNA from 1 species
GGCGAACGGCUGAGUAACACGUAGGAACCUACCCCGCAGCUCGGGACAACAGGCCGAAAGGCCUGCUAAUACCGGAUAAUACCGCAAGGUUGAAAGGCUUGCCACUGGGGGAGGGGCCUGCGGCCUAUUAGCUUGAUGGUGGGGUAAUGGCCUACCAUGGCGAUGAUGGGUAGCUGGUCUGAGAGGAUGAUCAGCCAGACUGGGACUGAGACACGGCCCAGACUCCUACGGGAGGCAGCAGUUCAGAAUCUUGCGCAAUGGACGAAAGUCUGACGCAGCGAUACCGCGUGGGUGAAGAAGGCCUUCGGGUCGUAAAGCCCUGUCAGGGGGAAAGAUAAUGACGGUACCCCCUAAGGAAGCCACGGCUAAUUACGUGCCAGCAGCCGCGGUAAUACGUAAGUGGCGAGCGUUAUCCGGAAUCACUGGGCGUAAAGAGUGCGUA